GACUCGGUGUGAGCAAUAAAGACAGAUUGAAAUCAAGAGCAGCUAGCCGUGCUCCAUGAUGUGAGAUCCGUCGUUUUUUUGGACAGUUUUCCCUUUUUCCCCUCUCUUUUGUGCGGCUGCUACUUUGGGGAGAGAGGAGGGGAAAAAAUUUGCCUGUGCUGAGUUCUGGGUUUCUUUUGGGAAAGAGAAGACUGGAGGGGAGGGGAAUGGCGUCCAAAAGAGAGGAAGUUGGGUUUUUUUUUUUUUUUGUUGUUUUUUGUUUUUUUGUUUUUUUGCUAUGGGGGAAUCUGUUGCAAACAGCUAAGGGGGCAUUACAGCGUUUUGGCCACAGAGGGAAGUUUUUGGGGGCGGAAGUCGGGCGGAUACCGGACGGGUGUGAAUAACCUUCAGCAGGCUGAUGCAGAGGUUGGUAGGUGUGCAUGAGACCGGGAGGGAGAGAGAGAAAGACAGCAGGGGUGGUAUCUGGCACAAAAACAUCAAAAAGAUCCUCCUCAUGCAGGCUUAAAUUAACACUAGCUGUUCAGAGCAGGGCUGUUUAUUACUGUAGGCUAUAACAGUGCUACUGAAAGGACAAGAAAGGGUGGGAGACAGAAUAGGCUGGACACUGAGGGGGAGGCGGAGGGGGAAGGAGGGUGCAGGACACGAGCAGAGUCAUCAGCAGAGUCCAUUUUAUCGUUCGGUUACUGCCCGACAUUUCUCCUCUCCUUAUUCGCACGCAGGACCGCUGCUGCAGUUCGCAGCGAGGCAAGGGUGGCCUAGUAAUGGCACAUAGCGGGCGCACUGCGGUAAAUAUUACAGGAUUUCACAGCACGGUUCGCUGUUGCAAUCAUGGCAGGGCAGUCGCACCCAGGUGCUUAUCUAGCUUUGAUAGCGUGCCAAAACAGUCGGCGUAGCUUUUUCAACUCAUUAACGUCUCUGUGGUCAUGAGAACGAAGCAGUAAUCAAGGCCGUAUUCAUCAGCGACCACGCCAGACUCCGGUUUUCGGGCCUUUAUUAGGUGCCUGCUGUUGGUCCCAUCCACACUCUGGAAGUUUUGUGAUAAAGGACAUGUAGGUCAAAGACGAACGUCUCUGAAAUAAAGAGAUGAAUAGUUAAUCGUUCACAUGACACUCAAAGUUAGGUGUUAAAAGUUGUCCCACAAUCCUUUAAUCAUUUCUGAGUGUAUGUGUGUGUGUGUGUGUUUGCUGUGACUCUCCUCCUCAGGAGAAGUGCACUGUGCCCCCCCCCCCCCACCCCACCUACACACACACACACACACACACACACACCCCUCCAGCUCCCUCCCGCCUUGUGCACACGCACGUCGCACAGGGUCGGUGAUGAAAACGCGUAGUGCGCACGCACUCCCACACGUCCCUGUUUCAUCAUCAGCUGAGCCCUUUCUCCUCCACUCACAGCGCUUCUUCCCUCCCUCUCUCGCCCCCUCCCCUCUCUGCUCUUGCUUCUUUUUCUAUCCAUCGCUCUCCUCCUCCUCUCUCCCUGGGUCCCGGCCACAUGCGAGAGGGUAGACUAGGACGCUGCAGCUCUGAAAAAAAAAAAAAAAAAAAAAAAGAGGGGAAAAACGCUCUGCUGCUAUUUCUACAGGCGGGCCCUCCCCUUUAGCUAGUCUGUGCCAAAAGAGGGAGGGAUUUUUUACUACUCCCAGUCCCAGGAUUUUAACCCUCUGCCUGCUCUCGCUUCUCUCUGCAAGAUCUGCUCCUCAAUAUCAUGCAACAAGUGGCUUUGCUUUACUCCUGCUUCGACACCGCUGCGCCAUUUGCGAAGACGUUUUUCAGGACCCCGGUUUUCUUCACUUGGCGGGCAUCGAUCACCUGCACUUGAGAGGAUAUGUGGACAUACUGUGUGCAGCUACGGCGAAGGAUCCAGCACAAUGAGCGGCGGGGAUUUCGGCGCUUUGCCCCGGAUAGCUGAUGGCUGUGGUGUGUGUGCCAGCUGCCUCAAAGACUCAGUGGGCUCAUUAAUCGGGAAUGACUUUAUUUUUCCUGCUCAGACCUCAGCAUCAAGGACGAGGAAACGCGAGAGGAGGCGAGCCGACAGCCCUGAAGCCGCAGCUGCACGGAGGAGGUGACCCGUCAAACACAAGUGACAUACAGGAAGUAUUUUGACAGCACGCAACAAUUAAAGCGUGAAAAAAAAAAAAAAAACCCACACAAUCUCAAUUUACUCAGUUAGAUGCAAAGUUCCCUCUGCUCUACUCUCACAUCCACUCUCACAUUUCCUGUUCAUAUAGAAAGUAGAAGAAGAUAAAAACAGAACAGAGCAGCGUAUUGAGUUUAGGUUAGGUUGUUUAGAAAAUGAUUUAUAUUUUUAAUUGAUUAAAUUGAAGUUUACAUUAAAUGUACUGUAGCAGUUUAAUUCAGCUGUAUCUCCUGACAAAAAUAAAGUGUGUAGUUAUGGCCACAGUCUUUAGCUAAUACAGAGAAUUAGGUGGUUGUGAUUUAAAUACUGUAAAAUACUCUUAAAUAGCGUGGAGGUUCAGGCUGUGUGUGUAAAACAUCAUUCAACAUCAAUUCAAAAGUCCAUUUACUUUUUCAGACUUUUUAACUGCACCUCGUGGCCUUGACCAGCAGGUAUAUAUUUAACUUUUCAAGCUUCUGAAAACAGCAGGUGUUAGUGUUUUUUUUCUCCCAUUACACAGAGUUAGAAUUUUUACACACAUCAAACACAAUAAUCCACUUACAGACACACAUUCAUGUGUCAUUUAGUUUCCUGUGUCUCCUCCUGGCUUCCUGAAGGCCGUUUGUCGCGUUGAGUUUCUGUUCCCCACAGGCCGAGCUGCCGAGCGUGCGACAGGAGAGACCUCUGCGGGAGAUGAACUGUCCUUUGGGGUGAGGUAGUAGGUUGUAUAGUUUUAGGGUCAUUCCCAAGCUGUCAGAUGACUAUACAACUUACUGUCUUUCCUGAAGCGACUGUGCUGGCAUCACGACCGUCACGACCGCACUGCAAACGUUUGUUUCUCCACUUCAAAUCUGGACAAACAACACACUAUAUUUAGAACAUAAAGGGCACUGCUCCUUGUUGAUUUCCUUUGAUAAAAUUGUGCAGAAAAUAAAGAAGAAGCAAGUAAAAUUAUCUUCACAUUUUCAGGCAACUCAGAUGUUGAUUUUAAAAAUAAAUGCAAGAUCUGGGAAAGAUUUCAUCCAUUUUAAUGAUGUUCAUUAGUGCAUGAUUCUGAAAUAUUUUUGGAAUUUUAAUCAGAACUAAAAUGUUAAUUUAUGAGUCUUUUACUUCUGUGCUUAUUAUAAUUUCAAAUCCUUUAACAUGAGUCCAUUAGCUAAUAUUUGAAUGCUGAUUUUGUACAGAAACUGUGAUAACCACACAGCAGCUCUGUCUUCAUUUACACAGCGAUCAUGUGACCUCUAACCCCCACCCCCCACCCCACCGCCCACCCGGGUGACUUAUGGUGUUCGUACAGGGUGAGGUAGUAGGUUGUGUGGUUUCAGGGUUGUGAUUUUACCCCAUCAGGAGCUAACUAUACAACCUACUGCCUUCCCUGGAGGGCAGCAAUACAUCACAGGAGCACACACACACACACACACACACACACACUACUGACUUGAACUGAGAGGUUUCAUUGAAUCGGUGAGUGAUGCUGAAUCACAAUUUGACUGCAACAUUAAUAAACAGAUUUGUAACUGCUUCAUUCAUGUUUUAACUUUGUACUUUUCCCUCAAUAAAGACUGAAAACAAAUACUACACAGCAA